rnacentral:rRNA from 1 species
CACGGGGGUUGCGAGCGUUGUCCGGAAUUACUGGGUGUAAAGGGAGCGCAGGCGGGGAGACAAGUCAGCUGUGAAAACUACCGGCUUAACCGAUAGAUUGCAGUUGAAACUGUUUUUCUUGAGUGGAGUAGAGGCAGGCGGAAUUCCGAGUGUAGCGGUGAAAUGCGUAGAUAUUCGGAGGAACACCGGUGGCGAAGGCGGCCUGCUGGGCUCUAACUGACGCUGAGGCUCGAAAGUGUGGGGAGCAAACAGG